rnacentral:rRNA from 1 species
CAGUAGCCACGGGAAUACGAAGGGGGCUAGCGUUGUUCGGAUUUACUUGGCGUAAAGCGCACGUAGGCGGACUUUUAAGUCAGGGGUGAAAUCCCGGGGCUCAACCCCGGAACUGCCUUUGAUACUGGAAGUCUUGAGUAUGGUAGAGGUGAGUGGAAUUCCGAGUGUAGAGGUGAAAUUCGUAGAUAUUCGGAGGAACACCAGUGGCGAAGGCGGCUCACUGGACCAUUACUGACGCUGAGGUGCGAAAGCGUGGGGAGCAAACAGGAUUAGAUACCCCGGUAGUCCCUGUCUCUUAUAC